rnacentral:sRNA from 1 species
GUCGGGCAUGGUGAUGCAUGCCUGUAGUCCCAGCUACUUGGGAGGCUGAGGCAGGAGAAUCACUUGAACCCGGGAGGUGUAGGUUGCAGUGAGCUGAGAUCAUGCCACUGCACUCAAGCCUGGGUGACAGAGCAAGACCCUGUCUCCA